rnacentral:rRNA from 1 species
UACGAAGGGGGCUAGCGUUGCUCGGAAUUACUGGGCGUAAAGCGCACGUAGGCGGCUUCUUAAGUCGGUGGUGAAAUCCUGGAGCUCAACUCCAGAACUGCCUUCGAUACUGGGAAGCUCGAGUCCGGGAGAGGUGAGUGGAACUGCGAGUGUAGAGGUGAAAUGCGUAGAUAUCGGGAGGAACACCAGUGGCGAAGGCGACUACCUGGCCUGUUCUUGACGCUGAGGCGCGAAAGCUAGGGGAGCAAACGGG